UAUUUUAAAGAGAGUUUGAUCCUGGCUCAGGACGAACGCUGGCGGCGUGCCUAAUACAUGCAAGUCGAACGAACGGAGGAAGAGCUUGCUCUUCCAAUGUUAGUGGCGGACGGGUGAGUAACACGUGGGCAACCUGCCUGUAAGUUGGGGAUAACUCCGGGAAACCGGGGCUAAUACCGAAUGAUAAAGUGUGGCGCAUGCCACGCUUUUGAAAGAUGGUUUCGG
rnacentral:rRNA from 1 species